UACGUAGGGUGCAAGCGUUGUCCGGAAUUAUUGGGCGUAAAGGGCUCGUAGGCGGUCCAUCGCGUCGGGAGUGAAAAGCUGGGGCUUAACCCCAGUCCUGCUUCCGAUACGGGUGGACUAGAGGUAGGUAGGGGAGAUCGGAAUUCCUGGUGUAGCGGUGAAAUGCGCAGAUAUCAGGAGGAACACCGGUGGCGAAGGCAAUCCCCUGGGCCUGCACUGACGCUCAUGCACGAAAGCGUGGGGAGCAAACAGG
rnacentral:rRNA from 1 species